UAUGUAGGGAGCAAGCGUUGUUCGGAUUUACUGGGCGUAAAGGGCGCGUAGGCGGCGCGGUAAGUCACUUGUGAAAUCUCUGAGCUUAACUCAGAACGGCCAAGUGAUACUGCAGUGCUAGAGUGUGGAAGGGGCAAUCGGAAUUCUUGGUGUAGCGGUGAAAUGCGUAGAUAUCAAGAGGAACACCUGAGGUGAAGACGGGUUGCUGGGCCAACACUGACGCUGAGGCGCGAAAGCCAGGGGAGCAAACGGG
rnacentral:rRNA from 1 species